CUCCUUUGACAAUUAAUGGAGUGGGCUUUUUUUUUUAGAUUUUUAUUGGCCUUCUGACCUAUGAUAACUCUACUGUUGAGUUUAAAGUGGUUCAUUAUUUCAUCACCCCACUAUUUUACUCGUGAUCUAACGACAAAUGAUAGCUAACGACUUGUGACAUUUUAGGAUUAGAUUCCAAUUUAAAUAGCACAUCUCAUACUGGUUUCUGUGCUAAAUAUAUUUUGUUUUGGAUAUGCUUUUGUCUGUCUUUACUUAUAAGAUGCAAUCCAAAUGAACCAGCCCAAUGUACUUUAUUGUUUCAGGUUGAUUCACAUUACAUCAUCUCCAGCCUGGCUCCAGUGAUGAGUGAUACUGGAUCGCUAAAACACAAGACAGAGGCACAGAUACUGGAGUUCUUUCAAGAUUUCCUUCUCGCCCUGGAGGAUGGGGAUGCCAGUCAGCCUGAGGAAGAAGACAAUGGAUCACCUCUCUCUGUUCCUCGAGUGAUGCAAUGGCUGACGGGGCAGGCUCACAGACACCUGCUGGUUUCAGAAAGGCAGAAUUUUAAAAUUAAAGUUCUUUUUGAUCACAGUUGUCUUGAACGCAUGCCAAAGCACACAGUGUGCUACCCUGUUGUGAGUGCAUGCAGCACCACAAUAACAUUUCCCACAGUCCAUCUGAAAGACAGCGAAGCAUUUAACUCCAACCUUGAAAUUGCAAUUCGAUAUGGUUCCAGGUUUGAUAGGGUUUAACUUUUGUUUUACUAAAGCUGAUGUGUUAAGUUAGUUAAUUUUAGUUCGACCCUGAUCCUCUUAAACUAUUAGUAAUCAACACUACUGCAAAAUGUCUCAUGUUGUCUGCUGGGUGUUCUGUUAUUUUCUUGCAACCAAGUAUUUUUUUUUUCAUAAUAUUUGCUAACAUGGUCUUGCAUAUAGAAAGGUUCUGAGAUAUACUGUACAAUUAAUGGUAUACCAGCAUUGACACCCCCUCCUCCUCUGAAGAAAAAUUUAACAUGACAGGAUCAUUUCAAUUGGCAACAUGCUCAAAAGCUGUUUUGUCUCAUGAGUGUUAUACACUAGUCUCAAAUUUAUACAAAGCAAAAUUGAAAAACAUUUCCUUUUUUGGCAUUUCUGCUUGUUUCCCAGAUAAGGAUGGGUAUGGCAUUUGCUAUUAAGUGUUGACCGCUCCAGAAAGUGUCAGAGGUGUUACAAAUUGUGUUGAAGUUAUAGUCGUUUGUUACUAUAAUAAUUGUUAAUUAUUAUUAUUAUUAGAAUUUGAUCCUAUGAUGAUAAUGUAUUUUAUUGUCAUAUGAAAAUCUGUUUUAAACAUUGGUAUUCAUACAGGGUUUUUACACUCAAGCAGGUCCCAAACUUAAUUGAUUAGAAUAUUCAAAUGUUCCUAUAUGGCAGCCGGGCGAUUCAGGUUCUACUGUUAAGUCAUUAUUAUUCUGUAUUUUGCCCCAACAGUGAAAUAAUGUUGAAUUAAAGAGUAAGUUCUCUUCAGUA